GCCGCCAUAGCUCAGUUGGUAGAGCAGCUGAUUUGUAAUCAGAAGGUCGGGGGUUCGAGUCCCUCUGGCGGCA
rnacentral:tRNA from 1 species